UACGGGGGGGGCAAGCGUUGUUCGGAAUUACUGGGCGUAAAGGGUUCGUAGGUGGCCAACUAAGUCAGACGUGAAAUCCCUCAGCUUAACUGGGGAACUGCGUCUGAUACUGGUUGGCUUGAGUGCAGGAGAGGAACGCGGAAUUCCAGGUGUAGCGGUGAAAUGCGUAGAUAUCUGGAGGAACACCGGUGGCGAAGGCGGCGUUCUGGACUGCAACUGACACUGAUGAACGAAAGCCAGGGGAGCAAACGGG
rnacentral:rRNA from 1 species